rnacentral:hammerhead_ribozyme from 1 species
AUCCAGCCGACGAGUCCCAAACAGGACGAAACGCGCGUUCUGGAU